AAUUCCAGAUAUUUCAUCCAACUUUCGGAGAUUCCAGUAGGAAGAUGCACAUGAGUUCCUACAAUGCUUGUCAGAUAGACUUGACAGCUGUUGUAUUUAUUCACAGACAAAGGAUACUUCUUUGCCUUCAGCUGAUGAGAGCUUGGUCAAGCAAGUUUUUGGUGGCCGUCUGAUUAGCAAACUUCAAUGCUGCAAUUGUGGUCACUCUUCUGACACCUAUGAGCCCUUGAUUGACCUGAGUUUGGAGAUUGAGAAUGUGGGUGCUCUUCCUAGUGCAUUGGAAUCUUUCAUGAAGGUGGAAAAGAUUGAAGAUCCAGAGACAAAGUUCACUUGUGAACAAUGUAAAGAAAAAGUGUCAGUAGAAAAGCAGCUUAUAUUGAACCAGGCUCCUUCUGUUGCUGCGUUCCACUUGAAAAGAUUCAAGAAUGAUGGCUCCUAUGUUGAGAAGAUUGACAAGCACGUGGAGUUCCCACUAGAGCUAGACUUGCUGCCAUACACUGGUGGCGAUCGGAAUAAUGAUGUGGAAUUGAAGUACAAUCUGUAUGCAGUUGUUGUGCAUAUCGGAUUCUCAUCCACUUC